rnacentral:ribozyme from 1 species
AUUUCUCUCAGCCUCGAUGAAUCGGCAUCUGCAUUGUUCUUCGAUGGUGCAGCCACAAAAAACAGCCCAAAAAAGGCAUCCCAGUCGACAAGCAUGGACAAUUCUGCCACCAACAUUUUCGGGGUUGCUGGAAAUUCUAGCGACAAGUCACUAAGUUUG